rnacentral:rRNA from 1 species
GGCGGACGGGUGAGUAACGCGUGGGAACGUGCCCUUCUCUAUGGAAUAGCCACUGGAAACGGUGAGUAAUACCAUAUACGCCCUUCGGGGGAAAGAUUUAUCGGAGAAGGAUCGGCCCGCGUUAGAUUAGGUAGUUGGUGGGGUAAUGGCCUACCAAGCCUACGAUCUAUAGCUGGUUUUAGAGGAUGAUCAGCCACACUGGGACUGAGACACGGCCCAGACUCCUACGGGAGGCAGCAGUGGGGAAUCUUAGACAAUGGGCGCAAGCCUGAUCUAGCCAUGCCGCGUGAGUGAUGAAGGCCUUAGGGUCGUAAAGCUCUUUCGCCAGAGAUGAUAAUGACAGUAUCUGGUAAAGAAACCCCGGCUAACUCCGUGCCAGCAGCCGCGGUAAUACGGAGGGGGUUAGCGUUGUUCGGAAUUACUGGGCGUAAAGCGCACGUAGGCGGAUUAGAAAGUUGGGGGUGAAAUCCCGGGGCUCAACCUCGGAACUGCCUCCAAAACUCCUAGUCUAGAGUUCGAGAGAGGUGAGUGGAAUUCCAAGUGUAGAGGUGAAAUUCGUAGAUAUUUGGAGGAACACCAGUGGCGAAGGCGGCUCACUGGCUCGAUACUGACGCUGAGGUGCGAAAGUGUGGGGAGCAAACAGGAUUAGAUACCCUGGUAGUCCACACCGUAAACGAUGAAUGCCAGUCGUCGGGUAGUAUACUGCUCGGUGACACACCUAACGGAUUAAGCAUUCC